AUCUCAUUUCAGCUGUAGCGAAAGUGUAGAGCAAUCUUCAGUCGACCGACCCAAAUGAGAGGAAUCAUCGGCAGAACCCUGUCCAACCCUAACAAUCAAUACCUUGCAUCUCUUACCAAACGCACCCCUUUUCUCCUCCAAUCCUCCCCCUUCUCCGCUUCCUCCAGCUCCGGCGACGGUCGUGGCCGUGGCCGAGGCCGUGCUGGAGGAAACUCUCCUUUUGGUGGGUUCACUCCAGCCACAGGAAGACCCAACUCAGAGAACAAAAGGCCCGACUCAACUGAAUCACCUUCCGUCGGAUUAGGCCACGGACAUGGAAGAGGAACGCCCUUAUCCUCCGAAUCCAAACUCCCCACUUUCUCUUCUCCCGUUUCCCAAUAUGGAUCCGGUCGAGGCCGAGGCACCAAUGAGCCAGUGCCGCCGAUGCCUCCGCCUCCAAGGCAAUCAAAACUGCCGAUCUUUAUCAUGAAACAAGAUGAAAUCGAAGCUGAUUCCUCGGCCACGCCAGCCAACGAGUCCGUUCAGUCGAUGGAGCCAACACUUCCAUCUAGUAUACCCUCAGUUGCAUCAUUAUCGGGUGCUGGAAGGGGCAAGCAUGCGAAGCAACCGGAGCCUGCCUUGCAGAUGAAGGAAGAAAAUAGGCAUAUCCGAGCGAAGCAGGAGCAACAGCAACAACAACAGCAACGGCAACAACCUUCUCCAUUGCCGCAGAUGAGCAAGGAAGAAGCGGUAAAGAAAGCAAGGGAGAUUCUUUCAAGAAGUGAGGGCGAUAAAAGGGAGGAUAUGGGUAUGAGUGGAGGUAGAGGAAGAGGAAGAGGUAGGCAGUCGGACAGGGGUAGGGGAGAGGAAGAGGGAGGGGAGGUUACACAAGGAAAGAGGACGAAGAUGCUAAAGAGCUUGAAGAUGAUCUUUAUUUAGGGGAUAAUGCGAAUGGGAGAAAUUGGCCGAAACUAUUGGAGCCGAAAAUAUGGCUAAGUUGGUUGAAGGUUUGAAGAGCUUUCCAAUAGAGUCAUGCCUUCUCCUCUGGAUGAUGCUUACUUGGAAGCGAUGCAUACCAACUUAAUGAUAGAGUUUGAACCUGAAUAUUUGAUGGCAGAUUUUGAGACUAACCCGGAUAUUGACGAGAAACCACCUAUGUCUCUUAGAGAUGCACUUGAGAAGGUGAAGCCUUUCCUCAUGUCAUAUGAAGGAAUUCAAAAUCAAGAAGAGUGGGAGGAAGCCAUCAAAGAAACAAUGGACAAUGUACCUCUACUGCAAGAGAUCAUUGAUCACUACAGUGGCCCUGAUAGAGUAACUGCAAAGAAACAGCAAGAAGUUGGAAAGAGUUGCAAAAACACUUCCCAAGAGUGCACCUGCUUCUGUAAAGAACUUUGCAAACCGUGCAGUUCUUUCUCUUCAGAGUAACCCUGGUGGGAUUCGACAAAAAAUGCCAAUUCAUGGAUAAGCUUGUGUGGGAGGUCUCUCAACAAUACAAAUAAAGGUAGAAGGCUUGGUUUAUUUUAGUCGAGAUGAUACCAAGUAACUAUGGCCUCAUGAUUCUUCAGAUUCCAUUCACCAAAACCUUUAUCUUUUGGGAGGGAGGGGACUGGGGGAUAUAUGAACAUAGUUUCAGUGGAAAGAGAUUUUUUUUACUUAGUAUUUGAUUCCUUUAGAGCAACAACUGCCAUAGAUUUAUAUGCUAGUUAAUUUUUCAGCAUUGGUGAAUAAGCAUUACUUUGAGAGGCCAAAGUACUGAAGUUUGUUGUGUUUUACUGGAAAAUGUUCAAAGUAUUUUUGCUACCUUUGUUGUGUGAUGCAUUGUAUCCAGCCCUGAUAUGUUAUGCUACGAUUGUCUGAUUCAGUUCCAAACUUCCAAUCCAUUUUGACC